rnacentral:lncRNA from 1 species
AAGAAAAAAAAAUUCAACUCUAAAACAACUGUUAUUUUAUAAAUUUACCAAAGUGCUCGCUAGCGUCAUGAAUCAGUUUUGGACUGGUGAAGAUGCGUUACUCCUCUAUGUUUCCGAUAGUAGGUUCGGCGGAAACAUAUACUUUUUCCCUUUUGGACUCUCUACUGGAGAGACUGAGCAUAGGAGUUGCAUCUUCCCAAAUCGACUCCAACGUAAAGGAUUCACCAAUUUCUAAGCCAUUUCCUCUAGCAAAAUCUUUCCAGCCCUUUCCCAAACUCAUUCUUCCUUGGCUUUCUCGUAGAAGAUUUGUCAUCCACUUUGUACCAUCUUUUCCCAGCAAUGCUAUCGUUCCAGGUUCGUUCAUGCCGUUUUCCCUCAUGAAUGGCAAUGGAAGACCCUGGAAAAAAGAUUUAAACCAAUGAGAAUGCAAGUAACAGAACUAACUAAGAGUUGAUUGAUGAACUCACCAGUCUACUGUUUUUGAAGCUGUCUUGUGUAAGAGUUAAAGUCACAAAUCGGUUCUGGCUUCUGAAUUCCGUACUGAGCAAACUGAGCACAGGAGUUGCAUUUUCCCAGAUCAACUCCAAUGUGAAGGACUCGCCCAUGUUUAAUCCGUUUGCUCUAGCAAAAUCUUUCAAGCCCUUUCCUAAACUCAUUCUUCCUGAGUUUUCCCGUAGAAGAUUUGCCAGCAUCCUUGUACCAUCUUUCCCCAACAAAGUUACCAUACCCGGUUUGUCCAUGCCGUUUUCUUUCAAGAAUGGCAAUGGGAGAUACUAGACAAAUAAAUGAAGCGAGAAUUUAAAAAAAAAAAAAAGAUCAAACCAACAAGAUUUGUUUGUAUGAUGAACUCUCACCAGUCUGCUACUUUUGAGGCUAUCAUUUGUAAGUGUUAAAGUCACAAAUCGGUUAGGGUUUGGUAAGGUUGAAUCUCUACAUAUCUGAGGAAUGUUCUCGUCGACUCCUUGUGUUCCAUCACUGAUAGAUUCUGUUGGGCAGACACUGAGCAAAGGUGUUUCCCCGUUUCUUAUUAGUUUGAACUUAAAUAAGCUUCCUUCUUUCCGGCCGUUUUCUUCACAGAAAUUUCUCCAGCCUCGGGUUAUACAGAAUGUAUCAGACGAUUUGUUGAACCUCAGAUCCAACGCCCAUGAUCUUUCCCUUUCAUCUGUUAAAACAAUCUUGCGGCAUUUUCUUUUAAAACCAUUUGAGAUUGUGAAAUCUGGUGGAAGACACUGCAGAAUAAAUAGGUUCACGCAUUUCAUCAAGUUGUGCAAAACUUUGUUUAGUCUCAUUACUAAAAUAAUUUGACAAAAAUACAUAAUAAACCAAACCCAUGUUGUUGAGGUUAAUUUAUGAUUUUUUUUUGAAUAACAAUGAAAUGCACAAUUCUAGAAACAGCAGUUCAUCUGACAGGUAUGCAAAAACAAUUGAAGAAGUGUAUACACGCACCAGAGAAUCUUCUUCCAGAUUGGAAGCGGUAACAGGGGCCACAAAACAAGAGUUGUCGGACGAAGAAGAAUCAGCUUCUGCUUGGGAAUUGUUCUUCUUCACUUUCUUAUUUCCUGUUAAAACCUCGGAUUUUUUUUUUUAAUUUUGUAAACAUCCGACCAAGUAAUAAGCUCUGACAUAUGUAUAAAUAUUUGUGUCAUUACAAGAAAAAGAUUAGAAGAGAAGUGAAGUUACCGGUGUUGUCCUGACCAUCAUCAACUUCUUCUGUUGUUAUAGGAUGCUUCUUCCUCGAGAUGUAACCUGUUUAGAACAAGUAAACAAUCUCAGUUUUCCCUUCAAACUGGACUACAUUUAAAAAAAUAAUAAUAAUAAUAAAAUAAGUAAACAGAGGCAAACUUACCCAUGUUUGCCUGAUCCUCGUUGUUGGUGUGUGUGUCACAGGAAGUGGAUCCUGAACCAGAGAGCAUCUCUGUGUGGGGCUAAUACCUUCUUCUCCAGGCUUGUUCCUUGUUGAUGCUUCGAGAACAGGAAUCGGCUACAAGUAAAAAAAAAAAUGUAAGCUGUGAAAAAUUCUCAGAAGAGAAAAAGGUUAUCAGUUUUACCUCUUAGAGAGCGAAUGUUCGUAUGCAUUUCUGGAAAAUUCGAAAUCUCAGCGUUAAUUUGGGUGUUGCAACUUUUUGGUUCAAUAUCUCUCGGCUAACGUUCCAAUUUAAAAUCUCUCGAUUUGGGGAUUUGGAGAAGAAGAUUUGAUUGAGAAAUUGCUAACCUUUGAACACAGAUCGAUAAUAAGAGAAGAGAAGCUUCCUUCCGUUGAUAUUGAAGAAGGAAUGACACGUCGAGCUUUAUCUAUGCUCUUCACCAAGUGGGCCUAAUUUGGUUGGGCUUUAAACUCAUUCAGAUCUCAAAUUUCUUUUCAAACCCUUUGACAUUGCAAGUAACAGCAGUUAUUAAACUGACUUUUCAGUGGAGGAGACAAUCUAAAGAGCACAAUAAUCAUUUCUGUUCACGUUCAUUCAUCCCACUCUUUUUUUUUUUUUUUACUCAGCCUAAUAAAAUUUAUAUUAAGAAGAAAAAAAAAACUUUUUAGUUCCUUGGCAUUGUUUCAUUUUUCUACUACAAUAAAUCUUCUAUUGUUUACACAACUUGGCUCUCUAAAUCUAUUCUCCGAACUUAUGAAAUGACUCCAACUCGAAGUACCUAAAGAUAACAAGAAGAUUUUCACCAUGCACACGUAUAUGUAACAACAAACCAUUCAUCUCUUAACUACCCCGCCCACCAGUGUCUUUAACCAGUUGACCGAAACUCUGUAUCUUAUACUUUCAAAAACAAAACUCGGCGUGUUAAUGUUCACGACCACAAACCGAACUCUGCACACAUGAAACCAGUAGGCCAGUUUCAACAACGAUGCUAAUGCAGUGCCUCUUAUUUGAAUACAAAGACCCAUACAUUUGAAAACAUAAGCAAACAGUUUUCAUCAUUUUUUUCACCCGCCAAAGUGACCCACAGUACUUAUUUCUCAAACCAAAUAACAAUUAGCAAACUAAUCAGAGAAAGAAACCUACAGAUGUAGAUCCUUUUGAGGCCGCCAUAGAUAACAUUCGCAAAGGCGUUGGAGAGGAAAGAGGGAGAGAGAGGCUUCAGAACCCGGGCCGUAGAGCCACUCGGUCGCUUUCUCCUUUUCGGGUUUCAGCUUAUCCAUGGGAAGAACAAGAACAGAGAGAGGUACUACAAGGUCAUGAACAGAGAAAGGGCUCUUUCUCUUCUAUACCGUCUACAUCUUCAUCAACUUGCGUGUCUUGCAAGUUAUCUUCCUCAAAGAAAUGGAGGCUAAAGGACUUGCUUCUUUUCCGUAGCGCGUCAGAGGGAAGAGCAAGGCACAACAACAAAGAUUUCGUGAAGUCGUUAUCGGGUUUGUUCAGGAAACAAGAAGACAGCAAGAGCUCGAGCUCGAGCUCUAGAGGAAGAGGAUCACCGUCUGUCUCCUCCGCCCAUGAAUUCCAUUACAUGGCUAAAAAGGCAGAAGCAAAAGGUUUGAAGAAAAAGACUUUCUUGCCUUAUAUGCAAAUAGGAAGAUUCGCCUUCUAAAUUCUUUGAAGCGCAAACCCAAAAUGAUUAUAUUGUUUGCUUAAUUACAUGAUCUAAAGAACUGACUCAUUUCUACUCUCUUGCCUGGUUGAUGUGUUUCGGAAGCAAGUAUAAUGAACCAUAAUCAUUUGAGAUUAUUAUUUCUUGUGCAUAGUAUAGUAUAUUUGUCUAUUUGCAUUAGAGUGACUCACAUUGCAUAACAUCCCAAAAUCUAAGCCCAUACAAAAUUAAUUUUGUUAAAAGAGAAGUCUGAAAGGCCCAUUUAUAAAUACUAAUCAACUCUCUCUCUCUGUGUCUUCUAGAGAUGGUUUUCUUUGUUUUCAAAAAAGUCAGAGAAGACUUUUCUGUAAAUUUUCUAGGAUAAACAUGUUUGUUUUGCAUUUAAAAAAUAAAACUUAAAUAUAAUUUUAUCCGGAUGACUUCCAUGUAAUUUUUCCGGUAGACGACUUUGUGUUUGGCUCCGAGGGGUUAUGUUUACCUCGUCAGUUAAUAGCUCAGCAAAGGCUUUGUGUAUCUGACAGUUAAUUGAAUAAUAAUCUAACAGAUGAAAAAAGAAAAAAAAAUUCAACUCUAAAACAACUGUUAUUUUAUAAAUUUACCAAAGUGCUCGCUAGCGUCAUGAAUCAGUUUUGGACUGGUGAAGAUGCGUUACUCCUCUAUGUUUCCGAUAGUAGGUUCGGCGGAAACAUAUACUUUUUCCCUUUUGGACUCUCUACUGGAGAGACUGAGCAUAGGAGUUGCAUCUUCCCAAAUCGACUCCAACGUAAAGGAUUCACCAAUUUCUAAGCCAUUUCCUCUA